CACCAUGUUUACUCAAUGCAGCAUGUUAUGCUUCUUAUAGCCUAGGCUUUUCAGGCCACGAGAUUUGUCCAUGUUAAAGAAGGAGUAGGAAAUUUGGUAGGGCAUGUUAAGGAUGUCUCCUUCCCUUCUAAUUAGGUAAGGAUGUAAAUGAACCAAGUUGAACCAAAUUUUGAAUAGCUUAGGCUCAGCUCUUUUGAGAUUUUUCAUGCUCAAUGUCAGUUUGAUUCAGCUUGAGCUUUAAUAAUAGAGCCUAAGCUUGAGCUUGGCUCAAAUUAAAUUCAUUGGCAAACAAGCUCAGCUCGAGCGCGAGCUCAAAUCAAGCUUGGCCCAAAAUUUGAGCUAAAAAAUAAGCUUGUCUCAAAUUUGAGCUUGCUACAUUAGUAUAUAUUUAAUUUAAAUAAAACUAAUAAAAAUCUAGCUUUAAAUUGAAAUAAAAUAUAAUUUAAAAUAAAGUUAUAGGGGGCCCUUUUAGGCCCCACAUGUUGGAAGUGUGCACCCAUAUACAUAAAUUCAAAAUUGGUGAGGGGAUUCCUUUUACAAGGAAGACACAACCCUUCAUUUUGUUUGUGUAUUUAUAUUGAUUAACAGGUAAAACAUUUAUAGUUGGGUAUAGAAGUACUCUAAGUUUACGUCAUUUUAAAAAGAUAUAUGGAGAGAAAUUUUAGUAGUCAACUGAAAUCUCAACCUUUUUAAUGUUGAAGAUUCAGAGAGAAUGAGUAAUAGUAAUAGUUGGAAAUAUUAGUGUUAAAUUUAAACCUUAAUAUUGUAAUGCUCAAAGUUUAGAAAGAAAGAGGAAGUGAGGGAUGGCAAAAAAAGAUGGUGUAAUGGUAAUAGUUAGAUAAUUUAGUAUUAAAUUUUAACCUUAAACCAUUUAAAGCUUUGAGUUUAAUAUUUAACCUGUUACACACUUAAUACCUUAUAUAAUUUAUCCCUAUAUGGUUUGUUACUUAUUAAUGACUGUAAAAUUGAGAAUUAUGACAGUAGAAUUGUAAAUUAUAACAUAUAUUAUAUAAUUCAAGCAUUAACCCUAAAUGGAGAGAGGGUAAAGAUAAAUAGUGAGAAAUAGUACAUAGUAGUCAAUUCAAAUCUUCAAGGCCUAGAUAGAAAGUAAUAGUACUGAUUGGAUAUGUAAUUUUAAAUUUAAAUUUUAACCUAGGUUCAAAACUGAAAAAGAAAGAGAGAGGGAGGACAGCAUAGGGGAGAGAGAUAAGUUUAUGUUUCAUAUCCCACAACUACCAAAACAUCAUAGUUGCAAUUUAUUUAGUAAUUGACUAUGGAUAAAAUAGUUUAAAAUGAUUUUUUAUGGUUAAAUAUAUAUGUAAUAUGAUCUUAAUGUAUUCUUAUAUUUAUUUCUCAUAGAAAAUUAACUUCAUAUUUAUAAAGAAAUUUAAUUUAUAUUACAAUUAAUUUAUUUUCUAUAAAUACAAUUUGUAUAUUAGUUGCUUUAUAAUUUUAGAUAACACAAUAUUAUAUUAUUUGAUAUUAAGAGCAUAUUUAUUAUCUAAUAUUCUUAAUUUAUUUCUCAUGUCAUACUUAACUUGAUUUCGUUAAAAAUAUUAAGUCACAAAUAACUAUAUUCACUAGCUUAGAAUAUAAUAAUAUAAUAGAUUUAUAUUUUCAAAUAAACCAACUCACUAACCUAUUUAACGAGCUUAUCAUCUAUCCUAUUUGCGAGCUUGUUUAAUGAGUUAGCUUGUGAGCCUAUAAAUAAGCCGAACACUAUUGAGCUCGAGCUCGAGCUAUAAUCAUUUAUUAAAUGAGCAUAAAAAUUAGGCUUGAGCCUGAUUCAUUUAGAAAAUAAACAGAAUUCAGCUAAACUUUUAUUGAACCAAACCAUCAAAUAAUUCACAAAUAAAUUGAUUCAUCUACACCUCUAUAAUUAGAAGAAAAAAGUUACAAAUUCAAUUAGUACACUAUAAAUCUCUAGAAUUUUCUUUUUAUUUUACAUGCAUUAAAAUUCAAGUUUGAGAUAGAUUCCAAUGGAUCUAAUUUGGGAAGGGCAGUGACCAAUAUGUAGGGAUUAGAUCUGAGGACUUGGAAGUUGAGCUGUGGUUUUAUGACAUGCAUUCAACCUACCAUGAUCUAACUUCUAAAUGAGGGUUAUCUUAUUUGCCCAGAAAUUUGCUCGAUUGUGCAUAAUGUUUGGAUACAAGUUAUGGACCGCAUGGCAGGAUUUGAGGUUGUAGUUAUGCCAGUUUGUUUGUGUCUAGUAUUCACCUUUAAAUGUUAACACAGCUGGAUAAAAGCAGUUCUUGUCUCAGAAAUAUACAAUUAUGCCUGAUAAAUACCAUGAGAAAGCAGCAGAGUUGCAAAUUUUCAGCUAUCUUAUUUGAUUGAAUGUGAAUAUAAUAAAGAUCUUCUGUUUCCCUCAUCUGCUUUUUUUGUUUAAAUCCUUGUGUCUUUUUUUUUUGGGAAGAAAAUGUGUAAAAGUCCAAGUGGAACAGCUAUUAAUAAUAACAAGUCCUACUUGACUUAAGAGUCUUAAUGGAGCAAUUAUUCUAAUAGAAAAUAAGUCCUACUUAAUAAUAAUCCUACUGAUAAAAAUAAUGGAAACAACAAUUCAAGAGACUCCUAUUGCUUACGGCUGCAGAUGCGCUUCAAUUAGCAGUCCUAUGCCUGGUAUACUUCUUCCCCACAAAUGCAUCCACAACAAAAUGUUGUUGUCUGCACCAUAAUUAACAUCCAUGCUUUGUUUGUCCAUUGCCUGCCCUCUCUUCUAAUUGAUGCCUAAUCUGACAAUGGUUAUCCUACUUUAGAAUUCAUAUUUUCCUCUUUCCUUUCUCUUGCAUAUACAUGCAAUCAUGAAUACAUUUUUUUUUUUUUUACUUUC